AUUGAACGCUGGCGGCAGGCCUAACACAUGCAAGUCGGGCGUGCGGCGGACGGGUGAGUAAUGUAUGGGGAUCUGCCUGAUGGAGGGGGAUAACUACUGGAAACGGUAGCUAAUACCGCAUACCAUCAGAUGAACCCAUAUGGGAUUUGCUGGUAGGUAAGGUAACGGCUUACCUAGGCGACGAUCCCUAGCUGGUCUGAGAGGAUGAUCAGCCACACGGGGACGGAGACACGGCCCGGACUCCUACGGGAGGCAGCAGUGGGGAAGAUUGCACAAGGGGCGAAAGCCGGAUGCAGCAAGGCCGCGUGUAUGAGGAGGGCUUUCGGGUUGUAAAGUACGUUCAGUCGGGAGGCGUUACCUACAGAAGAAGCACCGGCUAACUCCGUGCCAGCAGCCGCGGUAAUAC
rnacentral:rRNA from 1 species